AAACGUGAGUGGAGGUGGUGGGGACCUAACCGGGCUCGGAGCUCCAGCGAAACCCAGAGUUGAGUGGUUCUCCGAGGUUCCCGAGUACAAAGUAGGGCAAGUCCUGGUUUCCAGACUCCGGCUCGUGGUCUCAGGUCUAGAUCCUAGAUCCAACCCCUGCGAGGUCUCCAAAACGGCCUUCCCCUGAAGCCGGACAACAGAACACCGACUUUCGUACUUGAUGCCAGGUUGCGAAUCUGAUAUGAAAAAGGAGAAAUUUAAAUGUUCAGCUUGUUCCUUUCUGCGAUUUAGCCUGCAACUAGAGACAACAAAUUUGCAUUUUAAAACACUGAGGAUCAGACCCUGUAAUCAGAUCCUCAGGAAUGCACAACUGUGCUUGGGAAAAGUUACUCCAACAUCUCUCCCUUUUGGAUAUUAACAGAUAAAACACAGAUUGAAUAGCAUGACUUGAAAUUACAAAAGAUUGAAAAAAAAAAAACAACAACAACAACCAACUAAUUUUGCAAGAACAGAAUAAUUAAAACUAAAGACCAAACUCCCACAUCCAGUUUUUUCCUUGCAGAAUUUACUUUUGUGAAUUCAAAUGACAGCUAGCAACCCGCAUAUCAGAACCAGAAAUCCCGGGUGUUUUUCCAGCACCGAGUUUUAGGACAGAGCCUCUCGAUCACUGCUCUGAAAGUCUCUAAGUAACUAAGCUUACCAUAAAGACCCAGAAAGAGCUCCGGCUCUCCAGCGCUGGAUUGCAAACUAGUUUUGGAGAUUGAUUUUAGGAUGUCAUGCUUGCAGGCAAACACAUCACCAUGUUUCCUGAGGCCUUGUUUUAUUUCUUUAAAAGAAAAGGCAAGGGGGGGGUGGUGGUGAGAAAAGGACUCUGGCUAGGCUAGAACCUGCUCUGUGGAUCAUUCUGGCUUCAAACUCAAAGACUGGUCUGGGAGUGUCUCAGUACUUGGGAUUUAAGGUGUCUACCACCAUGCCUGGCGCUUCCUUAAAAUAGUUUUAUUAGUGUUUAUUUAUUAUUCAAAUUGGUAGGUUUCAUUAUGAUGUUUUCACAUAUAUUAAAUACUUUGCUCAUAUCCACUUAACUAUUUUUAUCAGAAAAUGAAAAAUGCAUGAUGAAAAUGCUUUUUAAAACACUCUGUUAGGUUUUGUUUCCAUUGGCUUUUGAAUUUGGAACCAGGUUGCCAUGUUGUCCGAUACCAAAGCCAUUCCCACGAAAUGGAAUUGCUAUUCCUCCUCUACAUGUUUUCAAUCGUGUGAAGGCAAAUAUUUGAAAUUCUCAUCCUUCAAACAUUCUUGCUUAAUCCACUCAAUGACACUCCUUGAGUCUGUUAAAUCUCGAAGUCAAUGGGGCUUCCCCAGUGGGAACUCUUAGCCUUUUCUUAGGUUUUCUUAGUUUAGUUUUGUUUCCCAAAGCCACAUGAUCUCUUUUUUAUUUGCCUCAACUGAAGGUGUGUUUUGUCAUACCAAAAAGAAAGAGUGUUGCUGAAAGUUCUUCCAGGACAGACUUAAGCAAUGUCUACCGACUCUUCACGUCCAAGGUCAAAAGGAGGCAGUCAAAGUUCACUCUGAGGAAUCCCUGAGUUUAUUGGGCUUCCUUACAGAGCUGAGGACCUUCUUACCGGGCGGGGUGUGGGUGCUCCUCUCUGAUGGUCACGCCUGAAAAGACUUUACCCUGCAGGGAUGAGUUUCCCCAUAGCUGCUUAGAUGGGCCUCUCCCUCCCCUGGUCUUCCCUGGCCUAAAAAUUCUAGGUCCUCCCUCAGACCAUGUGUAAUUAAGGCCAGUUGUGUACACAGGUGAGGGUCUCAUCACCCUCCUCACCCCUUAAUGAAGGAAUGUAAACAGCCAACGAGCCCAUCUGGGUUUGGGGGGGAAGGGUGGUUGGCAAAGGGCCACAGCUGACCUCCACAAGAUGGCAAUUGCUUGGCUCUGAGGACAGUUACAACAGGGAGCCAGAAAGGAAAGGACAAAGAGUGUCAGAAAUUCAUCAAGAAAAUUAACAUUGUUGCUUAAUCCAUUCAAUGCUGUUUACACAUUCUGGUUUCUCUGGAGGAAUUAAAUGUUUGCAACAGAUGUGUGAGAUGCCAUGGCUCAGAGGGGAUAACUACAGAAUUCUUCAGUGGAACAUCUUUGGGCCUGCUCCCUUGCAGAAAAUGCAGAAAGCUCUAGAGCAUUCCUGAGUGGAUAGGAAGCAGGGUGGUGAGAGUGUCCCCUGGGAGUACAGGUCAGUAGUGGAAUGCUCGCCUACCGUGCCCGGGGUUCUGGGUUCUACCCUCAGUACUGCAACAAGUAAAGACAGGGCCGUGAGGCAGCAGAAGAGAGACAAAGACGAAAACUGUAGAACUGUGGUCUGCCCAGAAUUAGCUCUGCUGACUCUCAGGAUGUUCUUUCUCCGAUACAGGAGUGGGGUUAUCAGAAAGUGUGGGCACACAGUUCCCCUGUCCUGAGCUAAGCGCUUGCAGCUCCCUCCUUCCUCUACUUCCUGGUGUGCCAGUGUGUGAGCAAGGUUUCAUCGCUGCAGCUUCACUAUUUUUUUUUUUUUUUUUUUUUUUUGCCCAUGUGUUUGUGCACAUACAGAUGAGCUUUAGUCUUUUUACGUUUAGUGUGCCUGUGUGUGUGUACACAAGCUAUGGCAUGCAUACGGAAGUCAGAGGACAGUUUGCAGGAGUCAUUUCUUUCCAGGAACACCUCGGGAGUUCCUAGGGCUGAAUUCAGGUUAUCAAACCUGGCAGCAAGUGCCUUUACCUCCUGUGCCACUUUGAUGGUCUCAAUGAACGGGCUUUGUCUACUUUUGGUUUUGGUAUGGUCCAAACAAGAAUUUCUUGAAUCAGCUUUAUGAAUAUUGUAGCCUCUAGUCAGUUUUUAAAGAAUGAAAGGAAACCUUUUUCCCCCCAGUAGUAAAGACUUGAUCAGUUACUCUUUUCUGUUGGAAGAAAUUCCCAUGCAGAAUCUUCUGAGAGGAAUUACCUUUCAUGGCUCAGAAGACUCAGUGGUCCUACUAUAUGAAGAGCUCCUAAUUCUGAGACCAUUCUAUGAAGAUGAAGCUGUGAUCUCCUACACACUCAAGAGCCAUAGAACCUAGCCAUUGAACAAACAUCACAGUGGAUGGAGGUCCCGCCUGAAAAAGAAAAAAAAAAAAUCCCAGAUGAGCCAUAGACAGGAGGAGUCACUUAAAAUGCUCCAGAUCACUUUAAAACCUCUCAGAGGUCUCUUCUCACAUGGACAAGUAAUUACAUGUGUGUCCAUCUAGCCUCAGAUCCACUGAAAGGGCACACCAUACCAUUCACCCUGAGUUAUGAGCAGAGCAUUUUGUGAUGGAGAUGAACUUUGAGUAGUUCCUUAGGUGACAGGACUCUACCUGUGGGGCUGAGAAGCAGUGAAUGCAGGGAGGCCAUUACAAGGUCUGUUGGGGAGUUUGGAUUCCAUCCUGUGGAUGGUAUGGCUAUGUCAGUCCAGGGGUCUCCUGCUUAAUUUGAACCAGAAAUUAUCAAUAUGCAAGCAAUGCCAACCAAGCCGAACAUUCCUGGAGUGGAAGCGUGUUACACCAUGUUCAUAGUCUGGUCGAUGUUCCCAGACUGGUUCAGUGUGGCUGUUAUAUACACUGCAGGAAAACUUGCCUUGUCUUUGCUCUCAGCAUUGAGGUCUGCACUUAGUGCUUAUGUGCCCUUAGGUUUAUCUGUACAGAAAGAUGGCAGAUGGCAUGGGUGAAGAGGAAGUUUCUGGUUUCUUUGAGGACUCAGUUGAGUCAUGUGAUGUUUUUCUAGAAGCUGCCUUACGAGAGGGCUUGUGGUAUUUCGUUGGAGGCUGGCUUGUGAGAAGGCGCGCAGUGUUUUGUUAUGAGCUGUCUCAUGCAAGGGGCAUGGCUUUGGUCAGCUGAGAGUUCUUAGGCGAGGAGACAUUGCUUUGUGGAUCCACAUUGCUGCACUGAUUUUCAGGCUUCCACACUUGACUUCGCAGAGAAAUGUUCCAGAGAAUUUCUUGGGGCAAUCCAACUGAGUCUGUGGCUUUCGCUGACUUGUCCGGAUCUCCUGAAUCAUGCUGAUUUGUGAUGCUGCUUGGUGUUGGCCUUUGGACUGGACUACUGGUAUCCGGACAAUGAAGAGUGGACUCAUCCCAAGGAACUACUUCUGAAAAGGUCUUCAGCCCCCUUUACCUAAUAACCUCCUUUCUUCCCUACAUCUGGUCUGGGGGUAGAAGGGAGGUAGAAGCAUUUAAGAACCCUAAAUAAAGUAGGUUUGGUGAAAAAUCUAA